AGUAUUUGCACUUCUCAAACUGUUCAAUCCUCCUGUGCUUCCACCACGACAUGAACGGCAGCAGCAGACAGGAUUUUGGAAGAGAUACCCCUUUUCCUGAGAUGCCAGAUGUCAGUUUGAUUCACAUUGCCAUGGACACAGCUAUCAGCCACCACAACACAAUACUGGAGCUAGAGGUGCUUAUGAGACAGUGACAUUACAGUGUGCAUACAGAAGAAAAUCCCACAACACCUGAACUGAAAGACUCAGAGGCCCAUUUACCACUUCUACAAAGUCUUUUCAAAGUGGAAAUAAGGAAGAUUAAAUUCAGUAUAUUGUGGAGUUGGAGAAUAUGAACCAAAAGAGGGAGUACUUCUCUUUGGUUGCAUUGUCCAUAUUAACAUAUUUUUUCCCAUUCAAAGUAAGUAUUUAUGACUGCCCCAAAGUCAGUUAUUAUUACUGCUGCUGCUGGUUUUAUU